CCUACGGGCGGCUGCAGUCGAGAAUCAUUCACAAUGGGGGAAACCCUGAUGGUGCGACGCCGCGUGGGGGAAUGAAGGUCUUCGGAUUGUAAACCCCUGUCAUGUGGGAGCAAAUUAAAAAGAUAGUACCACAAGAGGAAGAGACGGCUAACUCUGUGCCAGCAGCCGCGGUAAUACAGAGGUCUCAAGCGUUGUUCGGAAUCACUUGGCGUAAAGCGUGCGUAGGCUGUUUCGUAAGUCGUGUUUGAAAGGGGCGGGCUCAACCCGCGGAUGGGACAUGAUACUGGGAGACUAGAGUGAUGGAGGGGGAACGGGGAUUCUGGGUGGAGGAGGGAAAUGCGUAGAUAUCGAGAGGAACACUCGUGGCGAAGGCGGGUUCCUGGACAUUAACUGACGCUGAGGGACGAAGGCCAGGGGAGCGAAAGGGAUUAGAUACCCCGUGUAGUC
rnacentral:rRNA from 1 species